rnacentral:rRNA from 1 species
GACGAACGCUGGCGGCGUGCCUAAUACAUGCAAGUAGAACGCUGAAGGAGGAGCUUGCUUCUCUGGAUGAGUUGCGAACGGGUGAGUAACGCGUAGGUAACCUGCCUGGUAGCGGGGGAUAACUAUUGGAAACGAUAGCUAAUACCGCAUAAGAGUAGAUGUUGCAUGACAUUUGCUUAAAAGGUGCAAUUGCAUCACUACCAGAUGGACCUGCGUUGUAUUAGCUAGUUGGUGGGGUAACGGCUCACCAAGGCGACGAUACAUAGCCGACCUGAGAGGGUGAUCGGCCACACUGGGACUGAGACACGGCCCAGACUCCUACGGGAGGCAGCAGUAGGGAAUCUUCGGCAAUGGACGAAAGUCUGACCGAGCAACGCCGCGUGAGUGAAGAAGGUUUUCGGAUCGUAAAGCUCUGUUGUAAGAGAAGAACGAGUGUGAGAGUGGAAAGUUCACA